AGUCUGGUAAUAUUGAAGUUGCUCUUGACUAUCUAUCUGGAGCUGUGCAAUUGUUUGCUCAAGUCUUUGGGCCACAACAUGUCAACAUAGCUAACUGUUAUAAAGUUAUUGCAUGAAUUCAUCAUGCUCUAGGUGACAGUAAACUAGCAAUAUCAUUUCAGCACAAAACUGUCAUUAUGUAUGAGAGACUGCUAGGAGUGGACCACUGCAGCUCUAUAUCAGCCUAUUUCCAUUUGGCUUAGUAUUGCUGUGGGGCUGAGAGGAAUGUUGUGGCGUUGAGAUUACUGUAUAGAGUUAUGUAUCUAAUAAUGUUAACACUUGGUGAGGAUCAUCCUGAAAUGUCUAAUGUUGAUUUUUACAUUGGUUUACUACUGAGUAAUGCUGGUCAUUAUGAAGAAAGUCAGGCAUAUCUGGAAAGUGCUCGUAGAUUACAAAACAAGUGAGCUAGUAUAUACAAAUCAAGAGAAUUAAGGCUGGCUAUGUUUGUUCUUGUAUCU